rnacentral:rRNA from 1 species
GACGAACCGUGCGAACGUUAUUCGGAAUCACUGGGCUUAAAGGGCGCGUAGGCGGGCCGCCAAGUUCGGGGUGAAAUCCUCCAGCUUAACUGGAGAAGUGCCUCGGAUACUGGCGAUCUCGAGGAGGGUAGGGGCAUCUGGAACUAGCGGUGGAGCGGUGAAAUGCGUUGAUAUCGCUAGGAACUCCGGUGGCGAAGGCGAGGUGCUGGACCCUUUCUGACGCUGAGGCGCGAAAGCCAGGGGAGCGAACGGG